rnacentral:tRNA from 1 species
AGGGAUAUAGCCCAGUGGUAGAGUGCUUGCCUCGCAUGCAUAAAGCCCUGAGUUCAAUCCCUAGUACCACCA